UACGUAGGGGGCAAGCGUUGUCCGGAUUUAUUGGGCGUAAAGAGCGUGUAGGCGGCCAAGCAGGUCAGCUGUGAAAACUCGAGGCUCAACCUCGAGACGUCGGUUGAAACCGCUUGGCUAGAGUCCGGAAGAGGAGAGUGGAAUUCCCGGUGUAGCGGUGAAAUGCGCAGAUAUCGGGAAGAACACCCGUGGCGAAGGCGGCUCUCUGGGCCGAUAUUGACGCUGAGGAGCGAAAGCGUGGGGAGCAAACAGG
rnacentral:rRNA from 1 species